GAUGAACGCUGGCGGCGUGCUUAACACAUGCAAGUCGAACGGUGAAGCAGGAGCUUGCUCCUGUGGAUCAGUGGCGAACGGGUGAGUAACACGUGAGCAAUCUGCCCUGGGCUCUGGGAUAAGCGUUGGAAACGACGUCUAAUACCGGAUACGAGGCGUGGGGGCAUCCCCAACGCCUGGAAAGAACUUCGGUCCAGGAUGAGCUCGCGGCCUAUCAGGUAGUUGGUGAGGUAACGGCUCACCAAGCCUACGACGGGUAGCCGGCCUGAGAGGGUGACCGGCCACACUGGGACUGAGACACGGCCCAGACUCCGACGGGAGGCAGCAGUGGGGAAUAUUGCACAAUGGGCGCAAGCCUGAUGCAGCAACGCCGCGUGAGGGACGACGGCCUUCGGGUUGUAAACCUCUUUUAGCAGGGAAGAAGCGAAAGUGACGGUACCUGCAGAAAAAGCACCGGCUAACUACGUGCCAGCCGCCGCCGUAAGAC
rnacentral:rRNA from 1 species